AGGACGAACGCUGGCGGCGUGCUUAACACAUGCAAGUCGAGCGGAAAGGCCCUUCGGGGUACUCGAGCGGCGAACGGGUGAGUAACACGUGAGUAACCUGCCCCUAGCUCUGGGAUAGCUCCGGGAAACCGGGAUUAAUACCAGAUACGACCACUUUAGACAUCUGUCGUGGUGGAAAGGAUUCCGGCUAGGGAUGGGCUCGCGGCCUAUCAGCUUGUUGGUGGGGUAACGGCCUACCAAGGCGACGACGGGUAGCCGGCCUGAGAGGGCGACCGGCCACACUGGGACUGAGACACGGCCCAGACUCCUACGGGAGGCAGCAGUGGGGAAUAUUGCGCAAUGGGCGAAAGCCUGACGCAGCGACGCCGCGUGGGGGAUGAAGGCCUUCGGGUUGUAAACCCCUUUCAGCAGGGACGAAGCGAAAGUGACGGUACCUGCAGAAGAAGCGCCGGCUAACUCUGUGCCAGCAGCCGC
rnacentral:rRNA from 1 species